AAGUCGUAACAAGGUUUCCGUAGGUGAACCUGCGGAAGGAUCAUUAUCGAAUUCUGAGGGGGAAGAUGUGAAGUGAAGGCUGUCGCUGGCCCCUUGGGAGGGGGGCAUGUGCACGCCUUCCUUUUCGUCGACCUUUCUCUCAUACACACACCUGUGCACCCUAUUGUAGGCCCUCGGAAGAGGAUCUAUGUUUUUCACAUCACGCUCGUCGUAUGUCUAUAGAAUGUCAUUGAGAACGUCGACCUGUCUGACAGGCCGGCGGUCGAUAUAAAAUCAUACAACUUUCAGCAACGGAUCUCUUGGUUCUC
rnacentral:misc_RNA from 1 species